rnacentral:rRNA from 1 species
GACGAACGCUGGCGGCGUGCUUAACACAUGCAAGUCGAACGGAAAGGCCCUGCUUUUGUGGGGUGCUCGAGUGGCGAACGGGUGAGUAACACGUGAGUAACCUGCCCUUGACUUUGGGAUAACUUCAGGAAACUGGGGCUAAUACCGGAUAGGAGCUCCUGCUGCAUGGUGGUGGUUGGAAAGUUUCGGCGGUUGGGGAUGGUCUCGCGGCUUAUCCGCAUGUUGGUGGGGUAGUGGCUUACCAAGGCUUUGACGGGUAGUCGGCCUGAGAGGGUGACCGGCCACAGAGGGACUGAGAUGCGGCCCGGAGUCAUACGUGAGGAAGCGAUGGGAAUUAUUGCACACAGCGCGGAAGGCUUAUGCAGCAACGCCGCGUGAGGAAUGACGGGCUUCUGGUUGUAAACGGCUUUCUCCUGUAAGGGAGCGAGAGUGACGGUAAUGAGUAAAGAAGCACCGGCUAACUACGUG